CAGCCGCCACGGUAAUACGUAGGUGGCAAGCGUUGUCCGGAAUUACUGGGCGUAAAGGGCUCGCAGGCGGUUUCUUAAGUCUGAUGUGAAGGCCCCCGGCUCAACCGGGGAGGGUCAUUGGAAACUGGGAAACUUGAGUGCAGAAGAGGAGAGCGGAAUUCCACGUGUAGCGGUGAAAUGCGUAGAGAUGUGGAGGAACACCAGUGGCGAAGGCGACUCUCUGGUCUGUAACUGACGCUGAGGAGCGAAAGCGUGGGGAGCGAACAGGAUUAGAUACCCCGGUAGUCCCUGUCUCUUAUAC
rnacentral:rRNA from 1 species